AGAGUUUGAUCCUGGCUCAGGAUGAACGCUAGCGGCAGGCCUAAUACAUGCAAGUCGAACGGGAUUGGAGAGCUUGCUUUCCAUGAGAGUGGCGUACGGGUGCGUAACGCGUAUGCAACCUACCUUCAUCAGGGGGAUAGCCCUCGGAAACGGGGAUUAACACCGCAUAAAAACACAACCUGGCAUCAGGAAAUGUUCAAAUAUUUAUAGGAUGAAGAUGGGCAUGCGUGUCAUUAGCUAGUUGGCGAGGUAACGGCUCACCAAGGCGACGAUGACUAGGGGAUCUGAGAGGGAGAUCCCCCACACUGGUACUGAGACACGGACCAGACUCCUACGGGAGGCAGCAGUGAGGAAUAUUGGACAAUGGGCGCAAGCCUGAUCCAGCCAUGCCGCGUGCAGGAUGACGGUCCUAUGGAUUGUAAACUGCUUUUGCACAGGAAGAAACAUCCCGACGUGUCGGGACUUGACGGUACUGUGAGAAUAAGGAUCGGCUAACUCCGUGCCAGCAGCCGCGGUAAUACGGAGGAUCCAAGCGUUAUNCGGAAUCAUUGGGUUUAAAGGGUCCCUANGCNGGCUCGUAAGUCAGUGGGUGAAAGCCCAUCGNUCAACGAUGGAAACGGCCAUUGGAUUACUGGCAAGUUCUUUGAAUUUA
rnacentral:rRNA from 1 species